UGGCGGAGUGGUUAAACGCAUAUCCGUAUUAAGGAGACUGUCGCGGGUUCGAAUCCCGU
rnacentral:tRNA from 1 species